UCUGUCCGCCUGCCUGCCUCAAUGGACGUUCCGAUCACAAAAAAGUAGAUAAAAAUACACAUCAGUUUGUCAGAAUACAUGUUGGUUAUCUUAUGAACGAGUAUAGCUAUCACAAGAAUACAGCAAAUAUGUAUCAAUUUUUCAAUGAAGCAAACUUAUAUUAUGAUUAUCACAUUUUGAUCUUGGAGUAAUGGUCGACUUUAGUUGAUGGUUACUGCAGCCUGCACCAGUCCAGUAUUUCUAAUUACAAGUUUUAGCUCCAUCGGGAUAAUCUGAUUAGUGUAUCACAAGCUUGAUGUUUUUAAUCGUGCAAUUUUGUAGUUAUUUUAGUGUUAUGCAGAACACAUAGACUUUUCACAACAGAAAGAAAUCGAUGUAUAACCUGAUUUUGCUUUAUUAUUUAGUACCAGUUGACUUUGUAAAUCCCAGUUUCUCCAGUGUUGUAACUCUGUCAGAUCAUCAAAUUAAACUAAUCUUUUUCUUUGGACAGCUUGUAAUUUGUAAUAUUAUGAUUUUCCUUUUCAGAAACCACUUCAACUAGCCUAGGACCAUCUCUGGUCCGACGCGCGAGGCGCCUACCGAGUGCCUCCCUAGCUUAACGGUCCCAAACCCAAGCGAUUAGAUACGAAGUCUACUCAGCAGGAGGAGCAUGAACAGUUGUGAAGGAGAACCCCACUGCCUUGGACCAGGUUACUGAACCAGAAGCAGAAGGUGCGAGGGGCACUGUUCAGAUCUUUCACAGUAUCUUUAGGAAUGAAGCCAUGAGGAUGCUACCUAUUCUUUCCUUUCAAGUAUCCGGCACUACGAGCUGCAUUAGCUUCACCUCAGGAUGUUGAAAGAGGAAGUAGGAGUUUUCAGAAAUGAUAAUCUACAAGCGCAGUACAUGUUCGUUGAUUAACGAAGACAAAGGCCCUACAACUCAACUGCUGUAACACCUAUUUUUACAAUGUAGGGUAUGAACUACUUGGCUUUAUUUUUAACUUAUAUACUGAUGUAGAAUGAUGGCUCCUGUUUCUUACUCGCUGGUAUGAGCUUUUUUGUUGUAUUUUGUAAAGCUCAUGUAUUUACUCAUCUAUGCUAACUAGCAUUGCUACAACAUUUGUAUACUCUAAUAAUUAUACUUCCCUUGCCGUUGGCAGGGCUUUUUUUGUAUAAUUGCUCAUACUUAUCAAUGUUGAAGCUACA